GAAUGAUAUUCGGGCUAAGUCCCGAAGGCUUUUAUGCUAGUGACUAUAUCCGGACUAAGAUCCGAAGGCAUUUGUGCGAGUUGCUAUAUCCGGGCUAAGACCCGAAGGCAUUUGUGCUAGCGACUAUAUCCGGGCUAAGUCCCGAAGGCAUUUAUGCUAGUGACCAUAUCUGGGCUAAGACCCAAAGGCCUUGUGCGAGUGGUUAUAUCCGGCUAAAUUCUGAAGGUACUUGGUUUGGGAAUGAGCGAUCUUGCUGUAAU
rnacentral:lncRNA from 1 species